GUUUUACCUUGACGAAUUGUAGUUUAAAGAAGUGUUUUCUGUUGGUGUUUUGGUAAAAGUUCUUUGGAAUAGGACAUCAUAGAGGGUGAGAAUCCCGUAUUUGACCAUUACUUCCAGCGUUGUGAUACACUUUCAAAGAGUCGGAUUGUUUGGGAAUGCAGUCCAAAAUGGGUGGUAAAUUUCAUCUAAAGCUAAAUAUUGGCGAGAGACCGAUAGCGAACAAGUACCGUGAGGGAAAGAUGAAAAGAACUUUGAAAAGAGAGUUAAACAGUACGUGAAAUUGUCAAAAGGGAAGCGUUUGACACCAGUGUUGUUUUCUCGAAAAUCAAUUAAAAAGUGUUGGAUUUUGUAUUGUUAAGACCUUAUCAGCUUACUGUACUCUUUUCCUGCACUUUUU
rnacentral:rRNA from 1 species